rnacentral:rRNA from 1 species
ACCGGGCGUUAAGUUGCAGGGUAUAGACCCGAAACCCGGUGAUCUAGCCAUGGGCAGGUUGAAGGUUGGGUAACACUAACUGGAGGACCGAACCGACUAAUGUUGAAAAAUUAGCGGAUGACCUGUGGCUGGGGGUGAAAGGCCAAUCAAACCGGGAGAUAGCUGGUUCUCCCCGAAAGCUAUUUAGGUAGCGCCUCGUGAAUUCAUCUCCGGGGGUAGAGCACUGUUUCGGCUAGGGGGCCAUCCCGGCUUACCAACCCGAUGCAAACUGCGAAUACCGGAGAAUGUUAUCACGGGAGACACACGGCGGGUGCUAACGUCCGUCGUGAAGAGGGAAACAACCCAGACCGCCAGCUAAGGUCCCAAAGUCAUGGUUAAGUGGGAAACGAUGUGGGAAGGCCCAGACAGCCAGGAUGUUGGCUUAGAAGCAGCCAUCAUUUAAAGAAAGCGUAAUAGCUCACUGGUCGAGUCGGCCUGCGCGGAAGAUGUAACGGGGCUAAACCAUGCACCGAAGCUGCGGCAGCGACACUCAGGUGUUGUUGGGUAGGGGAGCGUUCUGUAAGCCUGCGAAGGUGUGUCGUGAGGC